AUUGAACGCUGGCGGCAUGCCUUACACAUGCAAGUCGAACGGCAGCACGGGUGCUUGCACCUGGUGGCGAGUGGCGAACGGGUGAGUAAUACAUCGGAACGUACCUUAUCGUGGGGGAUAACGCAGCGAAAGCUGUGCUAAUACCGCAUACGCCCUGCGGGGGAAAGCGGGGGAUCGAAAGACCUCGCGCGAUUAGAGCGGCCGAUGCCUGAUUAGCUUGUGGGUGGGGUAAAAGCCCACCAAGGCGACGAUCAGUAGCUGGUCUGAGAGGACGAUCAGCCACACUGGGACUGAGACACGGCCCAGACUCCUACGGGAGGCAGCAGUGGGGAAUUUUGGACAAUGGGGGCAACCCUGAUCCAGCAAUGCCGCGUGAGUGAAGAAGGCCUUCGGGUUGUAAAGCUCUUUUGUCAGGGAAGAAACACCGGCUCUAACACAGUCCGGGAAUGACGGUACCUGAAGAAUAAGCACCGGCUAACUACGUGCCAGCAGCCGCCGUAA
rnacentral:rRNA from 1 species